rnacentral:rRNA from 1 species
GGGUGAGUAACACGUGGAUAACCUACCUAUAAGACUGGGAUAACUUCGGGAAACCGGAGCUAAUACCGGAUAAUAUUUUGAACCGCAUGGUUCAAAAGUGAAAGGCGGUCUUGCUGUCACUUAUAGAUGGAUCCGCGCUGCAUUAGCUAGUUGGUAAGGUAACGGCUUACCAAGGCAACGAUGCAUAGCCGACCUGAGAGGGUGAUCGGCCACACUGGAACUGAGACACGGUCCAG